GGUAAAAUGGCCGAAUGUUCAGGCGGUAAGCUGUAGUCUUACACACAGGGGUUUAAUUCCUCUUUUUUCCA
rnacentral:tRNA from 1 species